rnacentral:rRNA from 1 species
CGGCGGACGGGUGAGUAACACGUGGAUAACCUACCUAUAAGACUGGGAUAACUUCGGGAAACCGGAGCUAAUACCGGAUAAUAUAUUGAACCGCAUGGUUCAAUGGUGAAAGACGGUUUUGCUGUCACUUAUAGAUGGAUCCGCGCCGCAUUAGCUAGUUGGUAAGGUAACGGCUUACCAAGGCAACGAUGCGUAGCCGACCUGAGAGGGUGAUCGGCCACACUGGAACUGAGAUACGGUCCAGACUCCUACGGGAGGCAGCAGCC